UUAUCUCUCCCUAGGUCCCUCCCACAACACAUGGGAAUUCUGGGAGGUACGAUUCAAGUUGAUAUUUGGGUGGGGACACAGCCAAACCUUAUCCAUAGCCAACACAGUCCUGGCCUGUGGCUGGUGUUGAGCUGAGCUGCGACUGUGGCUGUGUGAGUUGGGGUGCGAGGCGUGCGCACGCCUCUCAGUGGUACAGUGAAAGGAUUUGGAGGCUCAAACGUGUGACCUACAAAGAAUCUCCAAAGAUCAAGGUCUAUUCACCCUAAAAAGAAAAAUCUCAGCACAGUUUACAGCCAGUGUUUGCUUGUGGAUAUGGAUUCUGCAGUAAUAAAAUGAAUAAUUAAAAGUCUGUGAAUAAAUUUUAAUGUCUUUACUGGAAUUGUAAACACUGAUUUUCUUUCCUCACCUACCCAUCUAUUGGUGAGUUUCAGAAGGUGGAUGAACCGUGCUGCGGGGACAGAGAGGAGGGUAUAGAGCUUGGCCUCUGGGACUUCAGCUGAGCACUGAGUGACUGAGCUCUCUCCGUUUCAGACGUCCACACGGAAGCUGUCUGGGCAGCUCUGGCCAAACACAAAGAGUGGAAGAUGGCGGUGCCUAUGCCUUCCAAACGCAGGUCCCUGGUCGUGCAGACCUCCAUGGAUGCCUACACCCUUCCAGGCUUGUCUUCUCAAAGGACCUGAAUCACCUUACAUCCCACGUUGAAGCUACAUAUCACUUUAAAUGACACCGUGUUUUUUGUCCAAUACAAGAGAAACUUAAGGUAAAAAGCUGAGCAAACUGAAAAAUCAGCAGCUCUUCUUAAGCCAGCAAGAAACCUGAGGUCACAGGCAAGCCACUGUCCCCAGAUUGGCUGGACAGGUAAAGCGGAGAAUCACCAUACACUGGAGCACAAUGCUCCAAGGAACCCACGCUGGGAAUGGAAACCCUGAACUGGAAUUGACAAAUUGCUGCAGUGAGGUGUGGCCACGUCUGAGAGUUAAAACCUCCAGGAGGCCUGUGCAUAUGGGUCUCAUGCUUUUGUGAGUUGUAUCAUCAGAAGCUCAACCAGGUUCUCGAAGUGUAAAUAUCAGAGAAAAAUCCCCUCACACUUACUACAGGGGAAAGAGAAUAAGAAUCAUUUUUCAGUAUGCAGGUGCACUCUUCACUAGGUCUACCUUCCAGAGAAGCUAGUUAACUAGAGACUAACCUGGUGGGAUUUUAUCAGAGCCUUCUGACCUGAGGGAAAGGAAAUACCCAACUCCAACCUCCAGAACUGAAAAGCAAAAAAGAACAGAGUAUCCAAGCACUAUGGGACGUCUAUAGAGGCAUAAAAUAUGCAUAACGGUAAUACAAGGGGAAAGAAAGGAACAGAAGAAAUAUUUGUAACAGUAAUAGCUGAAUUUCCUCAGAUUAAUGCCAGACACCAAGCCAUAGAUCCAGGAAGCUCAAGAAACACUAAGAUUCUCUUAAAUAUUACAAAUUACAAUAUUAAUAUUUAUUAAUUAUAAUAGUUAUAAUUACAAUAAUUUAAUAGUACAUUUGUGAUAUUAAAUAUUACAAUUAAAAUGCAAACUAGAAACAAAUUGUUUCUAAAAACCAAGAAGUGUGGAUUCUAUGAAGCUGAUUUCUUUUAUUCUCUCUAAAUUCUAAGCCUUUCAAAGAAUAAAAUCACACACACAUUAAUAAACUACAGCAGGCGAAACAAAUGAGGCCGCCCUCUGUGACAUGGAAGGCCCUAUGACCUAUUCCACCUCUUCUAACACCAGGUGUGCGGUUUCUCUCACCCUGACCAGUUCUCUGUAUCUCUGGACACCAACUGUGUAUUCUACAACUGAAUUCAGGUCUGAAAUUAGGGCAGACCGCCCCCGCUUCACCAAUGGCAAGUUUCAGGUUUCCCUUGCUUCUGACCGACCACCUAAAAAUCAGGGUUGCCAUGUUCUUCUACUUAAGGUCAAUAACUUGCCAGACUGGCUCAUGGCACCCAGGGCAACACCCUUACCUACUGUCACCAGUUUACUAUGAAGGACCUGUGAACAGCCAGAUGAAGAGGUGCAUUGCUCCAGGCCUGGUGGGCGGGGGCGGGUUGCAAGUACAAGUGCUUCUGUUCCUGGGGAGUGGGAAUGCUGCCCUCCCAGAACUUCAAGGUUUUCCCCAACCUGCAAGCUCUCCAACCCCCACCAUUUAGGGUUUUAGAGAGGUGUCACUGUAGACAUGGUUGAUGACAUCUUUGGCUAUUGGGGAUUGACUCAUCUCCAGCCCUCUCCCUCCAGGUCAGAGGUUGGGUUGGAGACUGACAGCUCCAGCCCUCUAGUCCUGCCUUGGUCUUUCUGAACCCCAGACCCACUCUGAAACUGCCUAGGGGUCCCCAGCUCCCAGGCCUGUCCUGAGUACACAAAGGCACUCUGACAGUCUAAAGAUUCCAAGGGUCUUAGACGCUCUGUGCCCAGAACCAGAUGAAGACCAAAUAGCUAUGUCUCCUUGGAUGGCACAAUCACAAGCUCUCAUCAGCUGAUGGUCUGGAGCAGGUGUGCCGAGAGAGCUUUGCUGUGGCCCUGUUGCUGGGAAUCUUUGUUUUCAAUCCUUGCUGGGCCAACAGAUGCUCUCUGGUCAUUCCCCAAGCUGGUUGAAUUUACAGUCUUUUCCGUUUGAUUCCACUGUUCUGGCCCAGUUCUUCUGAAGCCUCUUUCAACAUCUUUGCCUCACCUGGGCGCUGAGAUCUUGUGACCCUCACCCAGCAGGAGAUACGGAUGUCAGGAUCCGGCUACCCUACUUACAGUUGGAUUGUGAAGAAGCCAGUCCUAAGCCUUCCCUUCCUAGGUCUCUUUAAUGCCAGAAAGGAGAUAUUUUUAUUUCAUUUUAGGUCGAUACGAGUGACAUACAAAUUUGAGUCGGCCAGUUCACUUGCCAGGCACCUGACUCUUCUGGAUUAGAAGAGUCUGGGUAAGUCUGGAUAAGAAACAGGCCCCAUACUGCCAGGACACAGAAGGGCAGCCUCGGUCCCCACAGGGUCAUGACAGAAAACCACAGCUCCCGCAACUGUAGGAAUUCUACAGAUUUUCACACUUAGAAGAAAAUGCCGCCCAGGAGUACCCACCCCGAUUAAUUUUCUCAAAAGUGGUUUUGCAAAGGCUCAGAAGAAAAGUCAGGACGCAGGGCGCCAGCCAGCCCCACCUUCCCAAAAUCACUUGCCCCGGGGCCACCCACCUGCAAUCAAACUGUUGAGAUGGGUUUUUAUUCUCAGCUGUUACCAGAGCAAAUAUUCUUGGAGAAGCAUGCAUUAGAGUAGGGUGCCUCUUUACAGAGGUCCUGGAGAGUGAGGCUUCAGCAAGUCACUGGCCAGGGACUCCGGGAACUUCACGGUUGGGGGGCUGGAGGUUAGAGGGGACAGAACCCUAACGGUGGGUGAGCUGAAAAUGGAAGAGCGUUCUUCACCUCAGAGUCUCCUGGGGCCUUUCCCUUCAGGAGCUGAAGGGGUGAGGGCUGUACAGUCUCGGACAGGUGCUGCCCGGGCUUCGAGAGCUGACGCAUCUGUCCCCAGAGCUGGGCAGCCGCCAGCCCAACCCACCCUGUAAUAACUGAAGUCCUUUGUCCCCACCCAGCCCCAGUCUGGGGGUCUGGUGCACGCUGUCCUUGAUCAACCCAUGCCAUACAUGAAGUGAUGAUGUCAAUUUCCUACUUGAACUGCCCCCCCCCCCAUGCAAAGUAUACCUUCUGGACAUUGGAUAAAAGACACCCCUUAAUGUAGCCCCAAGGCCUCUGCUCUCCAUGAACCUCCUGAGGGCGACUGCAGCAUGGCGAGCAGGGAGCCACGGGCUUCUUGGUAAAAGUGUAAAAUGAAGCUCUGUCUGAAAGGACCCCCAUCUGUUAGAUUUGGAAAACAGCUAAAGGCCGUUUGCUUUUCACAAUGAGUAGACUCUUAGGAAUGUAUUCUAAGGAAAGGCAGAAGAUAUGGAGAAACAAAUUCAACAAGAAUAUUCUUUGCAGCAAUAGCAAGGGAGGAAGGGAGGGAGAGGGAAGAGAGGAAAAGGGGAACAGAGAAACAGGCAGAUGAGACAGAGAAACAGAGACAGAGAGAGGCAGAGAGAGCACCUAGCUUGUUUUCAACUUGACCUCCUGGGAGAGUCUAGCAGGAUCAUAGAAUCCUCAGCACACUCUUGUGCUGGGGCAGCCAAGUUUCAAGCCAAAGUUUCCCAAACUAAAAGGUAACAAAUGCUAAGACUGAAGAAGCUGUGCACGUUCUUUUCCAGCUCCUUUUUGCAGCAUCAGCAGAAUGGGGCAGGUUGCUGCGUUCGUUCUAAAAAUCAAAACUGCAAGAGGAACCAGCUGCAGAGAGGGGCGUGGGAGGGCAGAUGUUCUCUUGCUGACUGAACUCACACCCCGGAGAGCGCCAGCGCCUAAUGCCGCCUCCACAGGUUCCACGGAGGACACAGGAGAGUCUGUGGCCACGUGAGGAGCAGACUCACAUUUCUAUGGCUCCCUCCCUCCCUCUAUGAGCUGUAUCCCAUGAGUCCUGCUCACUCCCCUCGGUCCCGAUGCCCUAGCCUUCAGCAUCUCUGCCAAUCUUCAUGAAAGAGCCUGUUGCACCGCAGUCCAGCAGGGCCACAAUAUUCAGAUGAAAAUUGUAAUGAUCACU